rnacentral:lncRNA from 1 species
CUUAGUUAAGGUUUUACUGCUGUGAGCAGACACCAUGACCAAGGCAAGUCUUUAAAGAGCAACAUUUAAUUGGGCCUACAGGUUCAGAGAUUCAGUCCAUUAUCAUGAUGGUAGAAAGCAAGGCACAUGUAAGGCAGUCAUGGUGCUGGAGAGGUAGCAGAGAAUUCACAUCUGGAUCCAAAGGCAGCAAGAAGAGUGACACUGGGCCUGCUGUGAGCAAUCUGAAACCUCAAAGCCCACCCCCAGAGACACAACGUCCUCCAAGAAGGCCACACCUCCUAUUAGUGCAACUCCCUAUAUGCCUUUUUAUUCAAACCAGAACAGGCCCAGAAAUGAAUGCAU